rnacentral:rRNA from 1 species
CAGUAGCGCGGUAAUACGGAGGGGGCUAGCGUUGUUCGGAAUUACUGGGCGUAAAGCGCACGUAGGCGGAUAUUUAAGUCAGGGGUGAAAUCCCGCAGCUCAACUGCGGAACUGCCUUUGAUACUGGGUAUCUUGAGUAUGGAAGAGGUUAGUGGAAUUGCGAGUGUAGAGGUGAAAUUCGUAGAUAUUCGCAGGAACACCAGUGGCGAAGGCGGCUAACUGGUCCAUAACUGACGCUGAGGUGCGAAAGCGUGGGGAGCAAACAGGAUUAGAUACCCCAGUAGUCCCUGUCUCUUAUACA